rnacentral:lncRNA from 1 species
CUUGUGUACAAUUUGGAGUUAAGUAUGGCGUUCAUUAUCACUGAACUAGUAUAUAUUUGUUUAGGGGCUAGCUGAAGGAUGCCUCCCGGUGCGGGAAUUUCUCGUUGCAUUGAAGACCUGUUGGUGACCAGCUGUUGUCUGCUCUAUGGUCGGGUUGUUGUCUCUUUGGCACAUUCCCAAUUUCCAUUCUCAAUUUUAUAACUAUCUGCAAUGAAGCUAUAAAAUGCUUAAAUGGUUACUGUUCAAAACUAGGAAUCUGGUAAAACAUGUAAAAAGUAGACUGUUGAUUGCAACACUGUAAUUAGUGCAGGAAUUGGAAUCAAUUACAGAAAAAUUGAAAUGAUUGGAAUCUUAUGGUAAAAGAAUUCGGAAAGAGGGAGCAGGUGUCAGUCAGAUCUAACUUAUCAGUGUCAAGCUUAUGAUCAAUACGAAGCCCUUCUGAUUUAACUGACAUAAGUAUGAGAAUUGAUUCGGCCAAACAAACCAGGUGGUUGCAAAAGUCAUUAGUCACUGAGUGGUGUACAAUUCUACUUUAAUGCAGAAACUCUGUAAUACGUAACAAAAGUUACAAAGGGUAGGACAAGGUUUAGUGAGAGGGGUGUAAUAUUCUAUUCUUCUUCAUUAAAACAACUUCUUAAGUCUUAAAACAUGUUUUAUUAUAAAAUAUGAAUGAUAAUGAAUGAUUGUAUAGAUGACAUG